rnacentral:rRNA from 1 species
AGAGUUUGAUCCUGGCUCAGAGCGAACGCUGGCGGCAUGCUUAACACAUGCAAGUCUCACGGGCAGCAAUGUCAGUGGCGGACGGGUGAGUAACGCGUAGGAAUCUGUCCUUAGGUGGGGGAUAACUGUGGGAAACUACAGCUAAUACCGCAUGAUACCUGUGGGUCAAAGGCGCGAGUCGCCUAAGGAGGAGCCUGCGU